UAGGGAAUCUUCGGCAAUGGGGGCAACCCUGACCGAGCAACGCCGCGUGAGUGAAGAAGGUUUUCGGAUCGUAAAGCUCUGUUGUAAGUCAAGAACGGGUGUGAGAGUGGAAAGUUCACACUGUGACGGUAGCUUACCAGAAAGGGACGGCUAACUACGUGCCAGCAGCCGCGGUAAUACGUAGGUCCCGAGCGUUGUCCGGAUUUAUUGGGCGUAAAGCGAGCGCAGGCGGUUUGAUAAGUCUGAAGUUAAAGGCUGUGGCUCAACCAUAGUUCGCUUUGGAAACUGUCAAACUUGAGUGCAGAAGGGGAGAGUGGAAUUCCAUGUGUAGCGGUGAAAUGCGUAGAUAUAUGGAGGAACACCGGUGGCGAAAGCGGCUCUCUGGUCUGUAACUGACGCUGAGGCUCGAAAGCGUGGGGAGCGAACAGGAUUAGAUACCCUGGUAGUCCACGCCGUAAACGAUGAGUGCUAGGUGUUGGAUCCUUUCCGGGAUUCAGUGCCGCAGCUAACGCAUUAAGCACUCCGCCUGGGGGAGUACGACCGCAAGGUU
rnacentral:rRNA from 1 species